GAUGAACGCUAGCGGCAGGCUUAACACAUGCAAGUCGAGGGGUAGAAGGAGCUUGCUCCUUUGAGACCGGCGCACGGGUGCGUAACGCGUAUGCAAUCUACCUUUUGCAGAGGAUAGCCCAGAGAAAUUUGGAUUAAUACCUCAUAGUAUGUGAGGAUGGCAUCAUUUUCACAUUAAAGUCACAACGGCAAAAGAUGAGCAUGCGUCCCAUUAGCUAGUUGGUAAGGUAACGGCUUACCAAGGCUACGAUGGGUAGGGGUCCUGAGAGGGAGAUCCCCCACACCGGUACUGAGACACGGACCAGACUCCUACGGGAGGCAGCAGUGAGGAAUAUUGGACAAUGGGCGCAAGCCUGAUCCAGCCAUGCCGCGUGCAGGAUGACGGUCCUAUGGAUUGUAAACUGCUUUUGUACAGGAAGAAACACUACUUCGUGAAGUAGCUUGACGGUACUGU
rnacentral:rRNA from 1 species